rnacentral:rRNA from 1 species
CAGUCGCCGCGGGAAUACGAAGGGUGCAAGCGUUAAUCGGAAUUACUGGGCGUAAAGUGUGCGUAGGCGGUUUGUUAAGUCUGUUGUGAAAUCCCCGGGCUCAACCUGGGAAUGGCAAUGGAUACUGGCAAGCUAGAGUGUGUCAGAGGAUGGUGGAAUUCCCGGUGUAGCGGUGAAAUGCGUAGAGAUCGGGAGGAACAUCAGUGGCGAAGGCGGCCAUCUGGGACAACACUGACGCUGAGGCACGAAAGCGUGGGGAGCAAACAGGAUUAGAUACCCCGGUAGUCCCUGUCUCUUAUAC